rnacentral:rRNA from 1 species
UUUAAUUAUUAUAUAUAAAAGUGAAAUACAAAAUAUAAAUUAAUUUUAGUUGGGGCAACUGGGAGGGAUAAAAAUCUUUUAUUAAAUCAUUUAUAAUAAUAUUUAUAUUUAUGAUCCAAAUUAGUUAAUUUUGAACUUAGAAU